rnacentral:lncRNA from 1 species
UGACGAUCCAGUUUGAGUGCCUGCAUUGUAGUAUCUUUCCACGAGUAAGUUUUCAAUGAAAUGCGUUGCUUUUUCAGUCGUUCUUUCAGCUCAUCUGGUCUUGUUAUCUUUCCAAUAAUAGGAGAAAAAUAUCCUGUACUACAUUUUAUCCUUUUCAUACUUUUUUCAUCAUCCUUGUAUUCAACAAACUCAUAAACAAACUUGGAGAUUAUAUCAUCAACAACUUGAUACUGUGCGCUUUGUGCAAAGUUCUUGUGCUGUUCACUUUCAAGGUGAGUUUGUAGAUCUUCAUAUUUCUUCCCACAGCAUUCACAAUAUCCUCUCCUUUUUUUGUCCUUCUGAUGAAGCUGAACAGGAGUUCUAUAGUCCUUGUCACUUUGCUUAUACUGAGUUUGUUUUUGACCAGAAGGAUGCUUCUUAUCCACCUCAAAUGGACUACAAGGUUUUGGAACACAGUAGUUCAGAGAUGGAAAACUCGGUAACUGUAGAUAAAAUGGUCGGUAGGAGCGACUUCUAUCUUCCACCUUCACAAAUGGAUUUUUCAGUCUACCUGUUUUUGACUUUUGAGUAGUAACUUGUUUUCCCACAUCUUUAAAAGAACUGCCUGUGCUUUUGAUUAGGUAGAGCUCUUUCUUCUUUUGUUCAAUGUAAUGCUUAACAUCGUCAAUAUGAAGUACUUUCACUCCCC